rnacentral:rRNA from 1 species
AACCCAGUGCAAUUCGUUGCACUAUCGUUAACUGAAUACAUAGGUUAACGAGGCGAACCGGGGGAACUGAAACAUCUAAGUACCCCGAGGAAAAGAAAUCAACCGAGAUUCCCCCAGUAGCGGCGAGCGAACGGGGAGCAGCCCAGAGUCUGAAUCAGCUUGUGUGUUAGUGGAACGGUCUGGAAAGUCCGACGGUACAGGGUGAUAGUCCCGUACACCAAAAUGCACAGGUUGUGAACUCGAAGAGUAGGGCGGGACACGUGGUAUCCUGUCUGAAUAUGGGGGGACCAUCCUCCAAGGCUAAAUACUCCUGACUGACCGAUAGUGAACCAGUACCGUGAGGGAAAGGCGAAAAGAACCCCGGCGAGGGGAGUGAAAAAGAACCUGAAACCGUGUACGUACAAGCAGUGGGAGCACCUUCGGGUGUGACUGCGUACCUUUUGUAUAAUGGGUCAGCGACUUAUAUUCUGUAGCAAGGUUAACCGUAUAGGGGAGCCGCAGGGAAACCGAGUCUUAACUGGGCGUUAAGUUGCAGGGUAUAGACCCGAAACCCGGUGAUCUAGCCAUGGGCAGGUUGAAGGUUGGGUAACACUAACUGGAGGACCGAACCGACUAAUGUUGAAAAAUUAGCGGAUGACUUGUGGCUGGGGGUGAAAGGCCAAUCAAACCGGGAGAUAGCUGGUUCUCCCCGAAAGCUAUUUAGGUAGCGCCUCGUGAACUCAUCUUCGGGGGUAGAGCACUGUUUCGGCUAGGGGGUCAUCCCGACUUACCAACCCGAUGCAAACUACGAAUACCGAAGAAUGUUAUCACGGGAGACACACGGCGGGUGCUAACGUCCGUCGUGAAGAGGGAAACAACCCAGACCGCCAGCUAAGGUCCCAAAGUCAUGGUUAAGUGGGAAACGAUGUGGGAAGGCACAGACAGCCAGGAUGUUGGCUUAGAAGCAGCCAUCAUUUAAAGAAAGCGUAAUAGCUCACUGGUCGAGUCGGCCUGCGCGGAAGAUGUAACGGGGCUAAACCAUG